AGAGUUUGAUCCUGGCUCAGGAUGAACGCUGGCGGCGUGCCUAAUACAUGCAAGUCGAGCGAACGGACGAGAAGCUUGCUUCUCUGAUGUUAGCGGCGGACGGGUGAGUAACACGUGGAUAACCUACCUAUAAGACUGGGAUAACUUCGGGAAACCGGAGCUAAUACCGGAUAAUAUUUUGAACCGCAUGGUUCAAAAGUGAAAGACGGUCUUGCUGUCACUUAUAGAUGGAUCCGCGCUGCAUUAGCUAGUUGGUAAGGUAACGGCUUACCAAGGCAACGAUGCAUAGCCGACCUGAGAGGGUGAUCGGCCACACUGGAACUGAGACACGGUCCAGACUCCUACGGGAGGCAGCAGUAGGGAAUCUUCCGCAAUGGGCGAAAGCCUGACGGAGCAACGCCGCGUGAGUGAUGAAGGUCUUCGGAUCGUAAAACUCUGUUAUUAGGGAAGAACAUAUGUGUAAGUAACUGUGCACAUCUUGACGGUACCUAAUCAGAAAGCCACGGCUAACUACGUGCCAGCAGCCGCGGUAAUACGUAGGUGGCAAGCGUUAUCCGGAAUUAUUGGGCGUAAAGCGCGCGUAGGCGGUUUUUUAAGUCUGAUGUGAAAGCCCACGGCUCAACCGUGGAGGGUCAUUGGAAACUGGAAAACUUGAGUGCAGAAGAGGAAAGUGGAAUUCCAUGUGUAGCGGUGAAAUGCGCAGAGAUAUGGAGGAACACCAGUGGCGAAGGCGACUUUCUGGUCUGUAACUGACGCUGAUGUGCGAAAGCGUGGGGAUCAAACAGGAUUAGAUACCCUGGUAGUCCACGCCGUAAACGAUGAGUGCUAAGUGUUAGGGGGUUUCCGCCCCUUAGUGCUGCAGCUAACGCAUUAAGCACUCCGCCUGGGGAGUACGACCGCAAGGUUGAAACUCAAAGGAAUUGACGGGGACCCGCACAAGCGGUGGAGCAUGUGGUUUAAUUCGAAGCAACGCGAAGAACCUUACCAAAUCUUGACAUCCUUUGACAACUCUAGAGAUAGAGCCUUCCCCUUCGGGGGACAAAGUGACAGGUGGUGCAUGGUUGUCGUCAGCUCGUGUCGUGAGAUGUUGGGUUAAGUCCCGCAACGAGCGCAACCCUUAAGCUUAGUUGCCAUCAUUAAGUUGGGCACUCUAAGUUGACUGCCGGUGACAAACCGGAGGAAGGUGGGGAUGACGUCAAAUCAUCAUGCCCCUUAUGAUUUGGGCUACACACGUGCUACAAUGGACAAUACAAAGGGCAGCGAAACCGCGAGGUCAAGCAAAUCCCAUAAAGUUGUUCUCAGUUCGGAUUGUAGUCUGCAACUCGACUACAUGAAGCUGGAAUCGCUAGUAAUCGUAGAUCAGCAUGCUACGGUGAAUACGUUCCCGGGUCUUGUACACACCGCCCGUCACACCACGAGAGUUUGUAACACCCGAAGCCGGUGGAGUAACCUUUUAGGAGCUAGCCGUCGAAGGUGGGACAAAUGAUUGGGGUGAAGUCGUAACAAGGUAGCCGUAUCGGAAGGUGCGGCUGGAUCACCUC
rnacentral:rRNA from 1 species